rnacentral:rRNA from 1 species
CACGUAGGAACCGAGCGUUAUCCGAAUUUACUGGGCGUAAAGCGCGUGUAGGUGGCUCGAUAAGUUGGGUGUGAAAGCUCCUGGCUCAACUAGGAGAGGCCGCUCAAAACUGUCGGGCUUGAGAACGGUAGAGGGAGGUGGAAUUCCCGGUGUAGUGGUGAAAUGCGUAGAUAUCGGGAGGAACACCAGUGGCGAAGGCGGCCUCCUAGACCGUUUCUGACACUGAGACGCGAAAGCUAGGGGGGCGAACGGG